AACACAUAUUCUGCUGCUCGCUGGUGACUCCAUUUACAGAGAUAACAAAUCCCAACCAACAAACGGAGACAAUCGAUCAGAUGGAGUGGCGGUGACUUGGGUAGCAGCGACAUCUAUUGGGCGACUUGGACAACAACAACAAUUUCAUUGAAACUAAAGUCUGGGUCUUAUGGAUUGUGUGUCAACAAUUUCUAUAUCUUUCUUUUUAGCCAACUUUGCGGCCUUGUCCUUCCCCCAUUCCGAUUUCUUGCAUUUCCUAAUCAUUUCUCUCUCCUUCACCUUUCAUCUUCACAAGGGUUCGAGAGAUCUUCAAGCAGGGUUGGCACUUCAUUGCGAUUUCUUUUUCUUAAGAUGCUGCUAAGAUAAUUUUGGUGGAAGAAAAGAAAUGGAUCAAUGCCGAAGGGUUUGAAGAGUAAAUGUCAAUCUACUUUUUGGAUUUGAGGAGUGCAAAGUGUCUCUUUUAUGAAGGCCUUCUUGGAAUGAUUCCAAUAUUGCGUCUUGAGGGAAUUGGCUUUAAGGAUGGUCCUUUGUUUGCUGCUCUUCAUGGAAAGACACAAGCCAAAGAAGUUGAAAUACUCAUAUGUUGUAAUACUCUCAUGUGAUGGUGCUGCAACAAGGAAAUCUUCAUGGAAUCCUCCUAAGCUUUUUUAUAUUACAUUUCUUGAGGGGGAGACAAUCAGGGAAUGACUCUACUUCGACAAGUCUAGACGAGCCUUUGAGAGCGAGAUCAAAUAUAAGUAUCUACAGCUUAGUCAGGGCAACACUACUUUGUUGAGUUUAGUUACAUGAGUCAGAUAGAUACAUUGUUCAGUUCACUUAACGUGUAUUGUUGAGUUUUUUUUUUUUAUGGUUUUUACUUUGUUCAUUUUAGAAAAUGAGUUUUUACUUUGUUCUUCUCAAUCACAUCGGUUACAGCCUCUAUAUCACAAAUGAUCAACUUCAAGAAUACAA